GUGAAUUUUGAUACUGAUAAAAGAUUUUUCUUAAUCUCAGGAACUAUCAGCACAUCAUUUAGAGGCAAGGCAGCAAUUGCAGCAUUUAAUAUUGCAUUACCAAUAUAUUUGACAGUGCUGCUAGAGCUGUUGGUAUAUCCUCAGCUUGGUAGGAGUUAUCAAACCGAUACCAAUAAUGAUAUGACCUGAUAUCAGAAUACCUUUGUGCUGAUACAUUGUAUGGUCUAAACCCUUGAGCAGAA